AACGCAUAUUGCACUCUCUUUACGGGGAGUAUGCCUGUUUGAGAAUCUAAAGUAUUUAUUCUACUGUUUUAGGGCCUUUGGGUUCUUUUGCGGUAGAGAUAUGAGGCAUCUCGUACCUUGGUAUGAGUGCUUUGAAAUUUAUAGCUGGUUUGUGCGUAGUGAUGCUUGAAUCUCUGCAAAGUCAACCCAAAAGUAUUUGAAUGGAACCUUGGUUUCUCAUAAUGCCGAGUAGGGGACAGUAGGGGCUAGUUGCUAGGCAAAGGUCAGUCCAUAACUAUAAAGUCUAGGCGGUCAAACGACUAGGCUUGAACCAUGGUCUCAAAUCAGGUAGGAAUACCCGCUGAACUUAA
rnacentral:misc_RNA from 1 species